GGAAGAGGGAGAAGCAAAAGGAAUCCCAAUCAGCAGCACCUUCCCGGGAUGAAGACACAGCCUAUUACUCACUCUGCUUACUGGAAGGAGGACAGCGGCAGGGCAGAAAGCAGCAGCAGCUGGGUGACUCCUCGGCGGAGCUCCCACUCUCUGGAAAGGACUCGCUGAGGAGGACUGGGGAAGAGCCAGCAAGAGAAGAGGCACAACAAGCUGAACCUUCCUAGAUGCCAAGUGAGUUCUUCCAGAAGGAAGGAGGUCUUCAAGGGACCAGCUCUCAAGAACUUGGAUUGUACCCGCUCAAGUAGUCAAGCAAGUGGCUGGUGGACCCAAACGUGUUCUCUACAAAAGUUGUGCUAAUAUUUUAGCUUGAUAUAAUUUAUAACUGAUAUAAUUUAAGGGCAGAAGAGACAAAAUGGGUGUCCUUAGUUAAGAGAAAUUUAAUUAUGCUAUAUACCAGGGAUGUCAAAAAUACUGGAUCCAGGUCCUUGAGUUGGAUUAUCAGGCUCGCAAGCUAGCUGGGGCAACCCACUCCCCACUCCUGAUCUGGCCUGGCUCACCAGUCCAGGCAGUCACCUGACCCCACUCUCAAACUGGCUUGGUGAACUACUCUCCCCCUCCCCCCAUGCCAAUUUGGGCCGGCAAUCCUAUUGCAGGCUCAUCAGCCACCUCCCCCUAGGGCUGAUCUGGGCUGGUGAUCCCAUUGUGGACUCACUUGUCAAGGAAGCUACCUCCCCCUAGUGUUGAUCUGUCUGGUGAUCCUGCUGCGAGCUCAUCAGCUGAGACAGUCACCCACCCCAUUGGCCUGACCCAACCAAGUCAAAUUAAUGUCACAGCCUCUUAACAAAUGAGUUUGACAGCCCUACUAUAAUCUCUUCCCAAGUUCUCCAGUGCAAUUGCUUUGAGUUAUUUUAGUGCCUGAGGACUGUAAGAACAUUAAUUUUCCUGGGUUGAUUCAAACCACAGUAAUGCUAGAUAAUUUCUUUCCCUCGUCCAAGGAGAUAUUCAUUACAGCACAUAACAGAAAAUCUCGUAUAAAAAAAUCAGGAUAAACCUUUUGAAAAUGCAUGUAAUCCUAACCCUGAAAGAAUCAAAAUUCAAAGGUUUUUGUUGCAAAAACUGUUCAGAGAGGAUGAAAGUAUAUUUUUAAAAACCCAAGCAUGAUAGUUUGGGCAUGCAUAGGAAUAAAGUAUAUUUCAGAGCCCCUCCCACCCCUCUACAGACUUGGAGGGAUGGGAAUCUAUUACAUUUAUAAGCAAAAAAAAUGCAAUUAGCCAUUUGGAAACAUUAGGGGGAAAAAUCCAAAAACCAGCAGUGGUAUAAUGCCUUUAGCAUAAACCAAAUUAUCACAAAGUACUUAGGAAGUAAUAUUUAUGAAUGAAUUUGUACAUCACUAUAAAUGUAGAUGUCUUUCUAUUUAAUGUCCAUAAGCAUUUGUCUAUAUUUUUAAUUGAUGGGAGAUGGCAGGAAGAAAUAAUGUAGCUUAACCCAAUCAAGGGGAUUUUAGGCAUUUCAUCGUAAAUCUUGUGCUGUAAAAGGUUUUUUCACAAGGCUACAUUUUAAGUUGCUGCCUCUUGAGAAAAAUGCAUGCAUACAAGUAACAAUAACAGGAUUUGUAAAUAACACUUUCUACUCACACUGUUUACAAAUGCUUAUAUUCAUCAGAGCUCUUUGCAUAUUGUCUUCUGCCACGUGACAAGUGAACAGGCAGAUGUAAACAGACAAAUGAUGUUAGAGUCAGAUUUCACAACUGAGUCACAUAAAGCCUAUAAUUCUCUCUGUCUCUAUCAGAAAAGAAACCAAGACAAACUAAUCAGGAAAGGAAACGUUUCAUGCAUCCAGCCAUAGGGCAAGUACUCUAGUAAAACUGGCAUUAUUUAUGCUGCUUCAUAAAAUUAAAAGUAUACCACUUAAUUCCUCAGAAUCAUAGCACUGUACAUAUCCUUUCAAUGCUUUAAAAAGAUAUAUCCAGUGUACUAAAAAUAUUAGUGGUGUGGCUAAAAUAAUCCCACAGUAAAUGGGACCCAUCUAAAUAAUAACAUCUUACAUCAUAUCCAGAAGGCACUCAGGUUUUGACCACAGCUGACCUUCAGUGGAAGGAGAGAGAAGAGGGAAGAUAAGCUAAUGAUGCUGUCACAUGCUAUUUUAUGACUAAAGCAAACAAAGGAUGGACUCAUAUGACUUUUCUUCAGAAUCUGUUUUCAGUGUUUUUUGAUUGGGGGAAAAAACCCUGGUUCAUUUCAGCUGGCAACUAAACUAUUGAGGAGCUAAUUUUUGUCUAGGAAGCAGGAUAUAAAUAAUAAAUUAUACUGGCUUCGUGUA